UACAGAGGGGCAAGCGUUGUUCGGAAUUACUGGGCGUAAAGGGCGCGUAGGUGGCCUUCUAAGUUGAACGUGAAAUCCCUGGGCUCAACCCAGGAACUGCGUCCAAGACUGGGAGGCUUGAAUCCGGGAGAGGGAUGCGGAAUUCCAGGUGUAGCGGUGAAAUGCGUAGAUAUCAGGAGGAACACCGGUGGCGAAGGCGGGUCUCUGGGCAGUAACUGACGCUGAGAAGCGAAAGCCAGGGGAGCAAACGGG
rnacentral:rRNA from 1 species